GCGUUUGCUUGCUAGCAUUAAUAAAUAAAAACAUUAGCUGAAAGACUAGCAAAACCGUUUAGAGAAGUAUUACUUAACGUUAAUAAAAAUGUCUGGUGAAAUGUAAAGGGUGCCGAAAUCUUUAGGCUAGAAAAGCCGCACGGACCAUUUAUCGGAUCGGACCAGUGACUGAAGCUGCUCGAGCGAGCCGAGCUUACACAUCAGUUAUGCGACAGACACCAAGCGUUUGAAUUCGCUGAAUUUUCUAUUAUAGAAGUUCAAAACUCAGACGAAAGAGCAGAGUCGUAAGGCAAUCCGCUCUUUUAGCAGAAAUUCGUACCAGCGCCCCAAACUACAUAACGUUACGUUACUCCUACAACAGAGCGUAAAACAAGCCAUUCGUCAGUGUAUCAGAAUUAUUUGAAAGUGUUAAAAAAAACAACAACACAUACAUAGGCUAUAAUUGUUUUAUAUAGCCAUGCAUGUUGUAUUAAAGCCAUUACAGGAAUAAUGGAAUAGCCUAUAAAUGGAUUUCUUUGUAAAGAAAAGAUUACAACAGCGAAACCUCUGCAAUUUAAUAGAAACAUUUCAAGGUUGGUGCUAAUAUGGUCCACUACCUCAACAAUGAGACAAGCCAGGAUCCACAUGUCUUGGUGCUUGGAGACAAAGAAAAUUCCUCCCAGGUUUUCAUCAUUUCCACUGGAGAGGCAGUUGAAAAGGAGACCUUACUUCAAGCAGUGAAUGAAUGCUUCAAAAGGUUCUACAUCUAUGACGUAAACUACCCAAAGCCCUCUGCUCCAAUUUGGGAGUUCUUGCAGCAUAUAAUAUUCCUGAAGGAGUUCCUUCUACACAUUGCUGCCUCCUAAAAAACUUUGUAUUCAAAGUUACUGAUCAUCAGUAGAUCCAGUAGCCAAAACACACGUUUAAGGGUUAGUUCACCCACAAAUGAAAAUUCUGUCAUUAAUCACCCUCAUGUUGUUCCAAACCCGCAAGACCUCUGUUCAUCUUUGGAACACAAAUUAAGAUAUUGUUGAUGCAUUCUGACAGCUCUCUGACCCUCCUAUAGACAGCAAGGGUCCUUACACCAUCAAUGUCCAGAAACUUAGCAAGGAGAUUGGUAAAAUAAUCCAUGUGACAUCAGGGGUUUAACUUUAACAGCAUACACUGUUUGCGUUGAGUGGAUACUGUCCAAAAUGGCACUAGGGUGACACGGAGGAGACAAAUUGUUGAAUAAACUCUUUUUUUUUUUUUCUUUUGCCCA